ACGCUCGACACCUACUGGAGGCAGCAGUGGGGAAUAUUGCACAAUGGGGGAAACCCUGAUGCAGCGACGCCGCGUGAGCGAAGAAGUAUUUCGGUAUGUAAAGCUCUAUCAGCAGGGAAGAUAAUGACGGUACCUGACUAAGAAGCUCCGGCUAAAUACGUGCCUGCAGCCGCGGUAAUCUGAGGCGGGCUGGCAAGGC
rnacentral:rRNA from 1 species